rnacentral:rRNA from 1 species
GACGAACGCUGGCGGCGUGCUUAACACAUGCAAGUCGAACGGUAAGGCCCUUCGGGGUACACGAGUGGCGAACGGGUGAGUAACACGUGGGUGAUCUGCCCUGCACUUCGGGAUAAGCCUGGGAAACUGGGUCUAAUACCGGAUAGGACCACUGCCUGCAUGGGUGGUGGUGGAAAGCUUUUGCGGUGUGGGAGGGGCCCGCGGCCUAUCAGCUUGUUGGUUGGGUGAUGGCCUACCAAGGCGACGACGGGUAGCCGGCCGGAGAGGGGAACCGGCCGAACUGGGACUGGGAUACGGCCCAGACUCCUACGGGAGGCAGCAGUGGGGAAUAUUGCACAAUGGGCGCAAGCCUGAUGCAGCGACGCCGCGUGAGGGAUGACGGCCUUCGGGUUGUAAACCUCUUUCAGCACCGACGAAGCGCAAGUGACGGUAGGUGCAGAAGAAGGACCGGCCAACUACGUGCCAGCCGCCGCGGUAAGAC